UCCGAUAUGGUGUAAAGGCUAACAUUACCGCCUUUCAAGGUCACAUCCGUUCGCGGUAGCUCGGGGUUCGAUUCCCCGUAUCGGAG